rnacentral:rRNA from 1 species
UACAGAGGGUGCGAGCGUUAAUCGGAAUUACUGGGCGUAAAGCGCGCGUAGGCGGCUUUGCAAGUCGGGUGUGAAAUCCCCCGGCUUAACCUGGGAACUGCGUCUGAUACUGGAGGACUUGAGUGCGGGAGAGGGAUGUGGAAUUCCAGGUGUAGCGGUGAAAUGCGUAGAUAUCUGGAGGAACACCGGUGGCGAAGGCGGCAUCCUGGACCAUUACUGACGCUGAGGCGCGAAAGCUAGGGGAGCAAACGGG